rnacentral:rRNA from 1 species
UGGGGAAUAUUGCACAAUGGGCGCAAGCCUGAUGCAGCCAUGCCGCGUGUAUGAAGAAGGCCUUCGGGUUGUAAAGUACUUUCAGUCGGGAGGAAGGUGGUAAGGUUAAUAACCUUAUCAAUUGACGUUACCGACAGAAGAAGCACCGGCUAACUCCGUGCCAGCAGCCGCGGUAAUACGGAGGGUGCAAGCGUUAAUCGGAAUUACUGGGCGUAAAGCGCACGCAGGCGGUUGAUUGAGUCAGAUGUGAAAUCCCCGGGCUUAACCCGGGAAUUGCAUCUGAUACUGGUCAACUAGAGUCUUGUAGAGGGGGGUAGAAUUCCAUGUGUAGCGGUGAAAUGCGUAGAGAUGUGGAGGAAUACCGGUGGCGAAGGCGGCCCCCUGGACAAAGACUGACGCUCAGGUGCGAAAGCGUGGGGAGCAAACAGG